rnacentral:tRNA from 1 species
GGAGAGAUGGCCGAGUGGCUGAAGGCGCCGGUUUGCUAAACCGGUGAGUCCCGUUCAGGGGCUCCGCGGGUUCGAAUCCCGCUCUCUCCG